rnacentral:rRNA from 1 species
CAGGCCUAACACAUGCAAGUCGAACGAGUGCCUUCGGGUGCUAGUGGCGCACGGGUGCGUAACGCGUGGGAAUCUGCCCCUUGGUUCGGAAUAACAGUUAGAAAUGACUGCUAAUACCGGAUAACGACGUAAGUCCAAAGAUUUAUCGCCGAGGGAUGAGCCCGCGUAGGAUUAGCUAGUUGGUGUGGUAAAGGCGCACCAAGGCGACGAUCCUUAGCUGGUCUGAGAGGAUGAUCAGCCACACUGGGACUGAGACACGGCCCAGACUCCUACGGGAGGCAGCAGUGGGGAAUAUUGGACAAUGGGCGAAAGCCUGAUCCAGCAAUGCCGCGUGAGUGAUGAAGGCCUUAGGGUUGUAAAGCUCUUUUACCCGGGAAGAUAAUGAUUGUACCGGGAGAAUAAGCUCCGGCUAACUCCGUGCCAGCAGCCGCGGUAAU